CCCUGUUUUAAUUGUUUAUUUGUUCAAUAAAUAUUGGAUUCUGCACUUUGUAUCCUGUGCUGCUCUCCUCAAGGAUAUCGUUUUAGCCUGUUUAGGCACCCCCCUGCAUAUUAUAUAGAGCCUUGGACAGCUCUAAAUCCUGUGAGUUUUACUCUACAUAAGGGGUCUAGUUAUUUGUGUUUUUUAGAUUGAUCACGAAUUGUCAUUUCGUUUACUGGUGCAGUAUUUAUUC